GUCGCGGCGGCUACGCCCACCUGGACCCAGUUUACCCUGUACUGUGCUGCAAAAUAUUACUUUCUCCCCAUCUGGAAUUCUUCCCUUCCUCCUUCCUGCCGCAGUGGUGUACUGAGCACUUUCACGUAAGAGUAUUCCUCCACUCGAACAACCCCCCGGAGAAGUACUGGUGUCACUGCCACCUGCGAGAGUUUGCGGCUACCUCCCCAAGAGGCAGUCCCAGGGUUAUUGUGACCUAUGAUGUUUAUUCAACUACUGUUGACGGGCUGCUGUGCACAGGGAACCUAGUAGGCAAGACCCCUGCCAUCGUGCAGCUUACUGUCAGGUUGACACAGACCUUAAGGUAAACGGAAAAAGUAUCAGGAAAAAAACAGGGUGCUUGGGACUUAGGAGAUGUUAAGAUCGCUUGGAGGACCCUAAUUUAAAUAAGAUAAAGUAGGUUUUCUCCGAGUAGGUUAACUGAAAAUGAACCUGUGUCUCUGGUUGCUGUUUUGUAGAAAGAACAAAAUUUUAAAUAAAUUAAAAACGACACCUGUAAUUUGAGAAGAUGCUUGAUAUCAGAAGAGGAGAAGAGUGGAGAGGGGUGGAGUGGCAAAGGAGAGCCUCCAAACCAAAAGCCUGCGGCAGAGGCCCUAGGAGAAUGAAGGAACAAGACAGCAAAGAAUGUGACUGGCCCCAUGGAAAGGAAGUUGUAUCCUAUCCUGGGGACUCUGUCCAGAUGUUCCAGGUGGUGACAAACA
rnacentral:lncRNA from 1 species